rnacentral:sRNA from 1 species
GCGUCUCUGUGUUCCAGGGCCAGUGCUCUUCUGGGUGAUCCUGGUGCUGGCUGUGGUGGUCGGCUCCAGCGCCUUCCUCCUGUGCCACCGGAGGGCCUGCAGGAAGCGAAUUCGGCAGAAGCUCCACCUGUGCUACCCGGUCCAGACCUCCCAGCCCAAGCUAGAGCUUGUGGAUUCCAGACCCAGGAGGAGCUCAACAAGAAAAUCUACAUCAUGAAGGCUGACACCGUGAUCGUGGGGACUGUGAAGGCUGAGCUGCCGGAGGGCCGGGGCCUGGCAGGGCCAGCAGAGCCCGAGUUGGAGGAGGAGCUGGAGGUGGACCAUACCCCCCACUACCCCGAGCAGGAGACAGAACCGCCUCUGGGCAGCUGCAGCGACGUCAUGCUCUCAGUGGAAGAGGAAGGGAAAGAAGACCCCUUGCCCACAGCCGCCUCUGGAAAGUGAGGCCUGGGCUGGGCUGGGGCUAGGAGGGCAGCAGGGUGGCCUCUGGGAGGCCAGGAUGGCACUGUUGGCACCAAGGUUGGGGGCAGAGGCCCGUCUGGCCUGGACUGAGGUUCCAGCAUCUAGUGGUGGACCGGCCGGUCAUUGCAGGGGUCUGGUGGUCUCUGCUUGCAUCCCCCACUUAGCUGUCCCCUGACCCAGAGCCUAGGGGAUCCGGGGCUUAUACAGAAGAGACAGUCCAAGGGGACUGGAUCCCAGCAGUGAUGUUGGUUGAGGCAGCAAACAGAUGGCAGGAUGGGCACUGCCGAGAACAGCAUUGGUCCCAGAGCCCUGGGCAUCAGACCCUCACCACCAGGCCCACAGCCCAGCGAGGGAGUUGUGAGGCCGGCUCCCAGUUCCCCUGUAACCCUACUCUCCUCUCUCCCUGGAUCUCAGAGGUGACACCCAUUGGGCACUUCCAGCAUGCCCCCAGUUACUGUAAAUGUGGCCCCAGUGGGCAUGGAGCCAGUGCCUGUGGUUGUUUCUCCAGAGUCAAAAGAGAAGUCGAGGGAUGGGGCGUCGUCAGCUGGCACCGUCUCUGCUGCAGCAGCCACACUGUACUCUGCGCCGGCGUGGGGGCCCCUGCCUGGGCUGCGGGACCCUCCUGGUGCUGCCUACCUCCCCUGUCCUGUAGCCCCCUUGGUGGGCCCAGGGCCUAGGGCUCAGGAUCAAGUCACUCAUCUCAGAAUGUCCCCCACCAGUCCCCACCACAGCAGGCGCCUCGGGUCUCAGAUGUCUGCAGCCCUCAGCAGCUGCAGACUGCCCCUUACCAACCCAGAGAACCUGCUUUACUUUGCCCAGGGACUGCCUCCCCACGUGAACAUGGGGAACUUCGGGCCCUGCCUGGGGUCCUUGACCGCUCUCUGUGGGCCCCACCCACUCUGUCCUGGGAAAUGAAGAAGCAUCUUCCUUAGAUCUGCCCUGCUUGCAAAUCCGCUAGCACCGACCCCACCACCUGGUUCCGGCUCUGCACCCUUUGGGGUGCGGAUGUCGAGAGGCACCACGGCCUCACCUAGGCAUCUGCUUUACUCUGGACCAUAGGAAACAAGACUGUUUGGAGGUUUCAUCAGGAUUUUGGGUUUUUCACAUUUCACGCUAAGGAGUAAAGCGGCCCUGACUUCCGGUUGGCUGGCCAGCUGACCCCCUAGGGCCUUCAGACGUGUAUGCAAAUUAGUGAUGGAUAAGGAUGAGUCUUGGAGUUGCGGGCAGCCUGGAGACUCGUGGACUUACCGCCUGGAGGCAGGCCCGGGAAAGCUGCUGUUUACUCAUCGGCCAGCCACGUGCUCUCUGGAGGAAGUGGUAGUUUCUGAAACCGCUCAGAUGUUUUGGGGAAAGUUGGAGAAACCGUGGCCUUGCGAGAGGUGGUUACACCAGAACCUGGACAUUGGCCAGAAGAAGCUUAAGUGGGCAGACACUGUUUGCCCAGUGUUUGUGCAAGGAUGGAGUGGGUGUCUCUGCAUCACCCACAGCUGCAGCUGUAAGGCACACUGGAAGGCACACGCCUGCCAGGCAGGGCAGUCUGGCGCCCAUGAUGGGAGGGAUUGGCAUGUUUUAACAAAAUAAUGCACUUCCUCACCUAGUGGCCCUUCACACACCUUUUGAAUCUCUAAAAAUCCAUAAAAUCCUUAAAGAACUGUAA